rnacentral:lncRNA from 1 species
AUAAUCCUACUUAAGUUUAAACAUAGUCUAAAAUAGUCUUAGUACAACAUAUUAGUCUUAAACAUAAAAGGAACAAGCUAUUCGGUAGCCUUGCCCUUGCCCUUGUCGGUUCCAGAAACACCUCCUUGUUCCUCUUUAACUGAAAGGUUUUAAAUAAGCAAGGAUGAGCACAAAUUGCCCAGCAAGUAAUAUACAACAUGGGUAAAGAGUUUCUUUAACACAAAUUUGAAAUAUCG